CGGGGCGUGGCGCAGCCCGGGUAGCGCGCCUGCUUUGGGAGCAGGAAGUCGGGGGUUCAAAUCCCUCCGCCCCGA
rnacentral:tRNA from 1 species